rfam:Rattus norvegicus chromosome 7, whole genome shotgun sequence.
GUAGAGAUGGCUUAGUGGUUAAGAGCACUGGCUGCUCGUCCAAAGGUCCUGAGUUCAAAUCCCAGCAUCCACA